GACGUAGGGUGCGAGCGUUGUCCGGAUUUAUUGGGCGUAAAGAGCUCGUAGGCGGCUUGUUACGUCGGCUGUGAAAACCCGCGGCUCAACCGUGGGCUUGCAGCUGAUACGGGCAGGCUAGAGGUUCGGUAGGGGAGACUGGAAUUCCUGGGUGUAGCGGUGAAAUGCGCAGAUAAUCUGGAGGAACACCGGUGGCGAAGGCGGCGAUCC
rnacentral:rRNA from 1 species